rnacentral:rRNA from 1 species
AGCGAACGCUGGCGGCAGGCUUAACACAUGCAAGUCGAGCGGGCAUCCUUGUGGUGUCAGCGGCAGACGGGUGAGUAACGCGUGGGAACGUGCCCUUCGGUUCGGAAUAACUCAGGGAAACUUGAGCUAAUACCGGAUACGUGCGAGAGCAGAAAGGUUUAUCUGCCGAAGGAUCGGCCCGCGUCUGAUUAGCUAGUUGGUGAGGUUAUGGCUCACCAAGGCGACGAUCAGUAGCUGGUCUGAGAGGAUGAUCAGCCACACUGGGACUGAGACACGGCCCAGACUCCUACGGGAGGCAGCAGUGGGGAAUAUUGGACAAUGGGGGCAACCCUGAUCCAGCCAUGCCGCGUGAGUGAUGACGGCCUUAGGGUUGUAAAGCUCUUUUCUCCGGGACGAUAAGGACGGUACCGGAGGAAUAAGCCCCGGCUAACUUCGU